rnacentral:lncRNA from 1 species
GUGAGUUUCCUCAGUUGACUCCUGAUUCACAAACACAAAAGACUAAACAUGUGGACUAUUAUUGUCUUGGCAACUGCUAUGUUAACUUCCGCUACUGUGUUUGGAAAAUGGGGUGCCUUACCAGUACUCCUAUUCUUAUCCACAGAACCACAUGAGCAGUGCCACCUACACCGGCUGGAGAGCACCAACAUGGGGAUACCCAAAGAGUUUUCAACAUAGGUUAUUAGACACGUUCUCCAGCCUGUGUCCUGACUGUCUGAAGGCUGAUGGAGUAGACGAGGUUACCGGGAUUCCAGGUUUGAAGGAUGCCAUCGAGUAUUCAUACUUCCAUACCAUAAAACCAACUAUGAAUGAAAUGUUGGACAAUUUAGGAAUUGAUAAAGGAGUGACAUACAGAUAUUUUGUUAGCCUCUGCGAAAGAAAUGAACACGUUAUAAACAUUCUGCCUGCAGGGGAUGUACUGAAAAUGUUUUGCUCUGAUAUAAAACAGACAGUGGAGGAAGGAUAUUUGUGAAUCCGAAUAUUGAUGAUGGGUUUACUUUGGAAUUUAGCACAGCACGUUUGAAUAAAUAAGAAUAUAUAAUCUGUGA